rnacentral:sRNA from 1 species
UCGCAGCUUUCCCGUCUGACUGCUCCCAAAUUCCCCAGGUAUGAGCAGAGUGAGUGGGGCUGGAAGGACCGAGAGAAACGGGAGGAAAUGACAGAUGACCGAGCCUGGUACCUCAUCGCGUGGGAAAACAGCUCCGUCCCUGUUGCCUUUUCUCACUUCCGGUUUGACGUGGAGUGUGGGGAUGAAGUCCUGUACUGGUAGGAGCCAUGGCUUGGGGGAGGUAGGGGAGAGAGACCCUGGUGAUGGUCCAGGCACUCCAGCCAGGUGACAAAGCCCCUGGACCUACCUAGGUCUAUGAGCUGCCAAGGACUGCAAGCUCCUCUGCCAGACCUUACAGCCUCUUCAUGUCCCAUCCUGCACGCUCACCUCUCUGCUUUCUUCACCUAGCUAUGAAGUGCAGUUGGAAAGCAAGGUGCGGCGGAAAGGCCUGGGGAAGUUCCUCAUACAGAUCCUGCAGCUCAUGGCCAACAGCACACAGAUGAAGAAGGUUAUGUUAACAGUAUUUAAACACAAUCAUGGUGCCUACCAGUUCUUCAGAGAAGCGUUGCAAUUUGAAAUUGAUGACUCUUCCCCCAGCAUGUCCGGUUGCUGUGGGGAGGAUUGCUCCUAUGAGAUCCUGAGCCGGAGGACCAAGUUUGGGGACAGCCAUCACUCCCACGCGGGUGGGCACUGUGGUGGCUGCUGCCACUGAACUCUCAGAGCCACUUUCAAGUCACAAUGCUCUCUCCUAAGGCCUUUCCUCUUUCCUGGUCUCACUGUUCACCGGGUGUCCUCAGAGCUGUGGCCUCCCCAGCCCUGCAUGUGCCAGGCUGCGCCCUGAGAGCACAGAACCUUGGGGAGAAGUGGUAUGAGCUGCUCCUCCUCUCCUAGGAGACCAGAGUGCUAGAAGGGAAUGAAAGGGAGAGGGAAGAGUAGGUGGGGCCGGGCAG